GUUUGAUCAUGGCUCAGGACGAACGCUGGCGGCGUGCCUAACACAUGCAAGUCGAACGGUUCUUAGAUUUGAAGCAAUUUAGAUUUAAGGAUAGUGGCGGACGGGUGAGUAACGCGUGGGUAACCUGCCCAACAGACCGGGACAACACUUGGAAACGGGUGCUAAUACCGGAUAAACUUUGCUUCUGGCAUCAGGAGAAAAGGAAAGGUGGCCUCUAUAUAAAAGCUACCGUUGUUGGAUGGACCCGCGUCUGAUUAGCUAGUUGGUGGGGUAAAGGCCUACCAAGGCGACGAUCAGUAGCCGGCCUGAGAGGGUGAACGGCCACACUGGGACUGAGACACGGCCCAGACUCCUACGGGAGGCAGCAGUGGGGAAUCUUCCGCAAUGGACGAAAGUCUGACGGAGCAACGCCGCGUGUAUGACGAAGGCCUUCGGGUUGUAAAAUACUGUCUUUGGGGACGAAUGUUAGCCAUGAAAAUAUUGUGGUUAAAUGACGGUACCCGAGGAGGAAGCCCCGGCUAACUACGUGCCAGCAGCCGCGGUAAUACGUAGGGGGCGAGCGUUGUCCGGAAUCAUUGGGCGUAAAGGGCGCGUAGGCGGAUAGUUAAGUCCGAUGUGAAAUACCAAGGCUCAACCUUGGGGCUGCAUCGGAAACUGGUUAUCUUGAGGACAGGAGAGGAAAGUGGAAUUCCUAGUGUAGCGGUGAAAUGCGUAGAUAUUAGGAGGAACACCAGUGGCGAAGGCGACUUUCUGGACUGUAACUGACGCUGAGGCGCGAAAGCGUGGGGAGCAAACAGGAUUAGAUACCCCGGUAGUCCACGCCGUAAACGAUGAGUGCUAGGUGUAGAGGGUAUCGACCCCUUCUGUGCCGCAGUUAACA
rnacentral:rRNA from 1 species